AAAUAUAAGAAGAAGUGCCAUCGCUAGGAUAACCAGAUCAUUACUAGUGCUACGAAUGGUUAGUUCACACAAAAGAAUACAUACAUAGUUUGAAUAAGAGCAUUUACAUUUUAGCAUACGUUCAGCAACACAUAAUUAAAUGGCGAAUAUCUUGUCAUUUAUUUAUCUCCCGCUUCUAGUGGCAUUUCUUUUCGAUUGCGCAAGCUCAAUUAAUUGUGACAAAAAAAGAAACAAUGUGCAAUAUACCAUCAAACAACAUUUGUUCUGCAAUGGAUAUGAUCCAAAGAUACGACCGGCUAAAAGUGAAUUUGACUCAAUUAAUAUAACUACGUAUGCCUUUUUUCAUGGUUUUGAUAUUAGUGAAUACAGAAGCAUGAUGAAUUUCCAAAUAAUAUAUUACAUGCUUUGGUCAGAUACCUCCCUAGCCUGGAAUGCAUCGGACUGGUCCAACAUUACUACACUUAAUACCAACUACGAUGAAAUUUGGACCCCUCAGUUUGAAAACAUUAACUCAGAUUAUGAAGGACAACCAUCUGUAUCCUGUUUGAACUCGGACUGUUUGCUACACGAAGAUGGAGGUAUUUCUUGUUCGCCAGUCUGCAGAAUCUCCGCAUAGUGCUCGUCCGACUACUCACGCUGGCCGUUCAACACUCUAGUUUGUCAAAUGUGGUUCACAAAUCGAGAUAAAGAACUCGUAGAUGAAGUUAACUUUUUAUCUAUCAUAACAUAUUUGCAGUCAGCUCAUCAAUCUCCUAUAGCUAAGUGGUGCGUUACAAGUGUUUCAUCUAAUAAAACACAGUUAAGUAUUCCUGGAGCAACCAGCCGCACAGUUGAGGAGUUGGAAUUCAACUUGGAACACAGUCCUCACCUCACAAUUGCAAUAAUCUAUCUUCCUGCUUUUGUUCUGAGCAUGUUGAAUAUGUUUGUCUGUCUGUUGGAUUCCCGCGUCAAAGAGAAGAGUGUCAUCCCCUUAAUAUGUAUGGUAUUUCAUUUCCAACUACUCCAACAAAUGAGUAAUCCUACCCCUGAAAUUCCUGGAGUAGUAUUAUUUAUAAUUGCUUCGAUGAUACUGACGUUCCUGUUAUUUGUGAUCACGUUGAUCAACCGCUGGUUGCAUGAUCUGCAAUUAACUCCGCCAAACAUUGUCAUACGAUCGAUGAGAGCUAUCUUAUCUAGCCGUGUGAUGAAUUGGAUUCUUAAAGUAGACUAUCUAAGCGUCGGGCAAAAGCCAUAUACAAUUAUUAACAGCGAUGAAAGACUGACCAUGGACUGGCAAAUGUUUGUGAAAAUAGUUGAUCGUUCUAUUUUAGCUGCGUAUGUUAUAAUUUAUCCACUACUUUUCUGGAUAUAUAUUCCACUACAACACACACACAAUCGAUAUCAUAGAUAUGGUACGAGAGUGUGCGCUAAUUGAAAUAUGUGUUCAAUUAAUAAAAAAUAAAAGUAAUGUAUUUAUGUA